rnacentral:rRNA from 1 species
UCGAGAAUCUUUCGCAAUGGGGGAAACCCUGACGACGCGACGCCGCGUGGAGGAUGAAGGUCUUCGGAUUGUAAACUCCUGUCAGCAGGGGAGAAUAAGCUGUCGAUGAAUAAUUGAUGGCUUUGACAGUACCUGCAGAGGAAGCCACGGCUAACUCUGUGCCAGCAGCCGCGGUAAUACAGAGGUGGCAAGCGUUGUUCGGAUUUAUUGGGCGUAAAGGGUCCGUAGGCGGUCUGAAAAGUUGGAUGUGAAAUCCCACGGCUUAACUGUGGAACUGCAUUCAAAACUUUCAGGCUAGAGUGUGAUAGGGGUAAAGGGAAUUCCCGGUGUAAGGGUGAAAUCUGCAGAGAUCGGGAGGAACACCAGUCGCGAAGGCGCUUUACUGGAUCACUACUGACGCUGAGGGACGAAAGCCAGGGGAGCAAACG